rnacentral:rRNA from 1 species
GUGAACCUUUACUAUAGCUUGACACUGAACAUUGAGCCUUGAUGUGUAGGAUAGGUGGGAGGCUUUGAAGUGUGGACGCCAGUCUGCAUGGAGCCGACCUUGAAAUACCACCCUUUAAUGUUUGAUGUUCUAACGUUGGCCCGUAAUCCGGGUUGCGGACAGUGUCUGGUGGGUAGUUUGACUGGGGCGGUCUCCUCCUAAAGAGUAACGGAGGAGCACGAAGGUUGGCUAAUCCUGGUCGGACAUCAGGAGGUUAGUGCAAUGGCAUAAGCCAGCUUGACUGCGAGCGUGACGGCGCGAGCAGGUGCGAAAGCAGGUCAUAGUGAUCCGGUGGUUCUGAAUGGAAGGGCCAUCGCUCAACGGAUAAAAGGUACUCCGGGGAUAACAGGCUGAUACCGCCCAAGAGUUCAUAUCGACGGCGGUGUUUGGCACCUCGAUGUCGGCUCAUCACAUCCUGGGGCUGAAGUAGGUCCCAAGGGUAUGGCUGUUCGCCAUUUAAAGUGGUACGCGAGCUGGGUUUAGAACGUCGUGAGACAGUUCGGUCCCUAUCUGCCGUGGGCGCUGGAGAACUGAGGGGGGCUGCUCCUAGUACGAGAGGACCGGAGUGGACGCAUCACUGGUGUUCGGGUUGUCAUGCCAAUGGCACUGCCCGGUAGCUAAAUGCGGAAGAGAUAAGUGCUGAAAGCAUCUAAGCACGAAACUUGCCCCGAGAUGAGUUCUCCCUGAGACUUAGAGUCUCCUGAAGGAACGUUGAAGACGACGACGUUGAUAGGCCGGGUGUGUAAGCGCAGCGAUGCGUUGAGCUAACCGGUACUAAUGAACCGUGAGGCUUAACCUUACAACGCCGAAG